UACGUAGGGUGCAAGCGUUGUCCGGAAUUAUUGGGCGUAAAGAGCUCGUAGGCGGUUUGUCGCGUCUGCUGUGAAAACUCGGGGCUUAACCCCGGGCCUGCAGUGGGUACGGGCAGACUAGAGUGCGGUAGGGGAGACUGGAAUUCCUGGUGUAGCGGUGAAAUGCGCAGAUAUCAGGAGGAACACCGGUGGCGAAGGCGGGGUCUCUGGGCCGUAACUGACGCUGAGGAGCGAAAGCGUGGGGGAGCGAACAGG
rnacentral:rRNA from 1 species